rnacentral:lncRNA from 1 species
UAAUAAUGGGUGAUAUUUUGUGGUUUCUUCCUGGUGGGUUCAUGUCUUUCAUUUUCCCUUUACUCCGUUCGAGCGUCAAUUGUUGCUAAGCUUGAUGUUGGCUCCCUCUAUGAUUUUUCCUCCAUCUGGGAAUCAUGUUCGUGCAUUUCAACAUUUAUGUGAUUUCCUUAGGAUAAAACCUCAUGAGUCGGUGUUUUGUGUCAUAUUCUAGGUUACCUAGGAGUUUACUACACCAUUUUGCUUGUCA